UUCUGGCUCAGGAUGAACGCUAGCGACAGGCCUAACACAUGCAAGUCGAGGGGCAGCGGAUUGAAGCUUGCUUUAAUUGCCGGCGACCGGCGCACGGGUGCGUAACAGGUGUGCAAUCGUGUCCAUAGUCGGGGAAUAGCCCAGCGAAAGUUUGGAUUAAUGCUCCAUGUGAAUCGAGACCGCAUGAUCUUUGAUUUGAAACGUUAAGGACUAUGGGUGAGCACGCUUCUGAUUUAGAUAGUUGGUGGGGUAACGGCUCACCAAGUCGACGAUCAGUAGGGGUUCUGAGAGGAAGGUCCCCCACAUUGGAACUGAGACACGGUCCAAACUCCUACGGGAGGCAGCAGUGAGGAAUAUUGGUCAAUGGGCGAGAGCCUGAACCAGCCAAGUCGCGUGAAAAGGAUGAAGGUUCUAUGGAUUGUAAACUUCUUUUGUCCGAGGGUAAAAAAGGCCACGUGUGGCUUCUUGCAAGUAUCGGACGAAUAAGCAUCGGCUAACUCCGUGCCAGCAGCAGC
rnacentral:rRNA from 1 species